AUGGCAAAUUUUUUUUGGAGUAGCUCUCUUGACAAAAAAGCAAUGCACUGGGUAUCCUGGAAAGCGUUGACUACACCAAAGUGCAAGGGAGGGAUGGGGUUUCGUGACCCACAUCUUUUUAAUCUGGCUAUGUUGGGCAAACACGGCUGGCGUUUUAUUACCAUCCCAAACUCGCUUUGUGCUCGAGUUCUAAAGGGCCGGUAUUUUCCAGACACGGAUUUCUUGCAUGCCACAAUACCCAAGUCAGCUUCGGCCACAUGGAGGGCAAUCGUGGCAGGAAGGAAUGCCCUCAAUACUGGACUAAUAUCUAGGGAUGGAGACGGAUCCACCAUCUCAGUAUGGGAGGAUAAAUGGAUACCG
rnacentral:rRNA from 1 species